UACGUAGGGUGCGAGCGUUAAUCGGAAUUACUGGGCGUAAAGCGUGCGCAGGCGGUUCUGCAAGUCAGAUGUGAAAUCCCCGGGCUUAACCUGGGAACUGCGUUUGAAACUACGGAGCUAGAGUGCGGCAGAGGGGGGUGGAAUUCCACGUGUAGCAGUGAAAUGCGUAGAGAUGUGGAGGAACACCGAUGGCGAAGGCAGCCUCCUGGGCCAGCACUGACGCUCAUGCACGAAAGCGUGGGGAGCAAACAGG
rnacentral:rRNA from 1 species